rnacentral:rRNA from 1 species
UACGUAGGGGGCAAGCGUUGUCCGGAAUCAUUGGGCGUAAAGAGCGUGUAGGCGGCUUGGCAAGUCUGACGUGAAAUCCCGCGGCUCAACCGCGGUCGGUCGUUGGAAACUGCCUGGCUAGAGUCCGGAAGAGGAGAGUGGAAUUCCAGGUGUAGCGGUGAAAUGCGUAGAUAUCUGGAGGAACACCGGUGGCGAAGGCGGCAUCCUGGACCAACACUGACGCUGAUGAGCGAAAGCCAGGGGAGCAAACGGGG